UACGUAGGUGGCAAGCGUUGUCCGGAAUUACUGGGCGUAAAGGGCUCGUAGGCGGCCAACUAAGUCAGACGUGAAAUCCCUCGGCUUAACCGGGGAACUGCGUCUGAUACUGGAUGGCUUGAGUUUGGGAGAGGGAUGCGGAAUUCCAGGUGUAGCGGUGAAAUGCGUAGAUAUCUGGAGGAACACCGGUGGCGAAGGCGGCAUCCUGGACCGACACUGACACUGAGGAGCGAAAGCGUGGGGAGCAAACAGGG
rnacentral:rRNA from 1 species